CCUCGCUUCUGGACAGGGCAGGUGUGGAAGGCCGGGGCUCGCAUGGAUCUGACACUGUUGAUACCCUUCCUGGUGUUACUGCUGCUGUUACUAGGUCGAUUAGGGUGCGAACACCUGCAAGGCACCAGAGCUCACCCAAAAGCGAAACAAGAACACCAAGGAGGUCCAGCCACCGGCCCACAGUCAUCAACAAAAUGAAGAGGCCACCCAUGCGCACCAGCACCGUCUGGACCUGGCCCUGCAGGCUGAAGCGAUGCUGCCGCUGCUCCUCUGUGGGAUGUGUCUGUCACUGCCUCAGCCGACGCCCUCCGGAGGUAACGAACUACAAUCUCUGGUCUCCAUCUGAAGGAAACACGGACCCCACGAAGCCCUGCUUCCCAAUCCAGAGGAUGAAAGCGGCCCAGACUGGCCCCACCCCGCAGUCUCACCUUGCCCAGGGACAACACUGUGGACACGGCCCGGAGGGAGAACUCCAGUACCACCAGGGCGGCUACUCGGGCCCCUACCACCGUCAGGAACAGGGUCAGACCAGCCAGGUGCACUGUCUCCAGUGAGGCCCAUUGGGCUCGCAGCCGCUGCUUAUGGGUCUGCCGCUGGGGGUCACUGUGGGGGCAGAACGGGUGCGGGCUGGGAGGCGGGAUCGCGGUGUCCGAUCCUGGGAGGAUGCCAGGGUCCCAGCCCCACUCUCAGCGUUCUCCAAGAGAGACCAGAUUCCGCGCAGUGACCAACCGCCCGGGCGGGGCUGGGUGGCACCGAUGUGGGCACUCACUUGACACAGGCCACGAAGAAGUAAACUUUCAGGAGACUGUUGAGAA